AUCGCUGAACUUCUCUCCUCCGUCAGAGGGUGUCGUCGCCGCGUCCUCUUCUGCUUCAGCCUUUGUUGUCCCUCUGUUUUUUCAAUCGCAGCUUCCUCCUCUGCUCCAUCUGGCGGCGUCUCUCUCUUCUCUAGCCAACGACGUCCCCCAUUGCUCUGCCAUCGCCCUCUUGAAGCCCGAGUUCUCCCUCUGCCGUGCCGCCUCCAGUCUCUCCUCCAGUUGUGCUGCCUUCAGCUGCGAUUUGUCCCUCCACCGAGCUUAGCCUUGGUCGCCUCCAGCCUUGCUCGCCUCUGUUAGGCAGAUUUGCCGGAGCACCUACAUAAGCAUUGCUUGUCUAGGUGGAUGACAUAGCUUUUUGAAAAAUGAGGUGAAGUUGCUUCAGUGGACCACCGGGGUAUUGUGCCAUCAUCAUUAUAAACUGUGGAAAGCUUGCCUGAGAAAUCUAUCAAGAUUAUUAAACUCUGGGUUCUUUUGGGAAGUUCAUGAAGUGGCAAGACCUUGCUGAGUUUCCCCAUCACAAAUCAUUCUAGCAUCAAUGUUGCAAGGGUUUCAUUCAGGGUGUGUGAUGAGUGUAUGCA